rfam:Desulfotomaculum acetoxidans DSM 771, complete genome.
UAACGGGUGGAAAUCCCGUCUGGUAAGACUCUAGCCAAGUCACCAGUAGCGAGUCUUGGACUUGAUGGAGUAAUUCAUAGAGUUAAGCGUAGACAGGUAGGUAGUAGGCCUGAAUGUGAUUGAGCCCCGUAAUGGGC